rnacentral:lncRNA from 1 species
UUAUAUGUGUAGAUAUAUGGCGGGUCUGGGCACGCUACCGGGAGGGCCUCCGCCGGUCCCGGGGCGUGACAGAUUAAUUUGGUAUCAGAGCCUAGGGUUGAGUCUUAGUGGACCUAGCAAACCUUAGGCCGGUUGGACUAUAGGAAUUAGGCUCAUGAGAGACGAGGUCUAAUUGACUUGUGAGCAAAAGUAUUUCGAUUGGGUUUGAUAAUAACUCUAAAAAGUUAGAAUUUGAUCGGAGUGUAGGGCUUCUAACUUCGCCGAGGGUUACGUUGGCGGCCGACAACGUAACAUCGGGAGUUAGUAGUGGAGGACACUUCCUUACUUUCGCAUGAUUUGGGUUUUAUCUAUUUAAGCGGGGAUGCGAUAGUGUAGGUUACUAACUUGCGCUUUUAUGUUUUGUAGUGACGAUGCCGGUUACACGCUCCCAGUCUGCCGGGGCGGAUGAUGCGGCACACCCCGAGGAGGUCGAGACCUCCGCUACUUCCGGAUCUAGUGAGAUCCGUGACUUGAGGACCCAGCUUGCGGUCCUCACUGAUCUGUUGGCACAGCAGACGGCAGCGGUGCAGCGACAGGCUGAGGUGGCUCAGCGGCAGGAGGCGCGGAUGAAGCAUCUUGAGGACCUCCUACUUCAGCAGGCGGCAGCUUCGAGGG